rnacentral:rRNA from 1 species
CCUACGGGAGGCAGCAGUGGGGAAUAUUGGACAAUGGGCGCAAGCCUGAUCCAGCCAUGCCGCGUGAGUGAUGAAGGCCUUAGGGUUGUAAAGCUCUUUUAGCAGGGACGCGGUACCUGCAGAAAAAGCCCCGGCCAACUUCGUGCCAGCAGCCGCGGUAAUACGAAGGGGGCUAGCGUUGCUCGGAAUCACUGGGCGUAAAGCGCACGUAGGUGGGUCGUUAAGUCGGGGGUGAAAUCCCAGAGCUCAACUCUGGAACUGCCUUCGAUACUGGCGACCUUGAGUCCGGGAGAGGUGAGUGGAACUGCGAGUGUAGAGGUGAAAUUCGUAGAUAUUCGCAAGAACACCAGUGGCGAAGGCGGCUCACUGGCCCGGACUGACACUGAGGUGCGAAAGCGUGGGGAGCAAACAGGAUUAGAUACCCUUGUAGUC